UUUUUUUCUACACUUUUAGGUGUAUUUUGUGCAAGAAUAUGCAAUAAAAUCGUCCGCCUAAGAAAAAUUGAAUUUUUUUGGAAAUUUUUUUUUUUACCUGAAUGACUUUUUGGUGGUUAUAGAGGUCUUCCUCUACUCGGAUUUGGCUGUCGAUUUUUUUCUACACUUUUAGGUGUAUUUUGUGCAAGAAUAUGCAAUAAAAUCGUCCGCCUAAGAAAAAUUGAAUUUUUUUGGAAAUUUUUUUUUUUACCUGAAUGACUUUUUGGUGGUUAUAGAGGUCUUCCUCUACUCGGAUUUGGCUGUCGAUUUUUUUCUACACUUUUAGGUGUAUUUUGUGCAAGAAUAUGCAAUAAAAUCGUCCGCCUAAGAAAAAUUGAAUUUUUUUGGAAAUUUUUUUUUGGACCUGGAUGACAUUUUGGUGGUUAUAGAGGUCUUCCUCUACUCGGAUUUGGCUGUCGAUUUUUUUCUACACUUUUAGGUGUAUUUUGUACAAGAAUAUGCAAUAAAAUCGUCCGCCUAAGAAAAAUUGAAUUUUUUUGGAAAUUUUUUUUUGGACCUGGAUGAAUUUUUGGUGGUAAUAGAGGUCUUCC